rnacentral:rRNA from 1 species
CCGGCGCACGGGUGAGUAACACGUAUCCAACCUGCCGUCUACUCUUGGACAGCCUUCUGAAAGGAAGAUUAAUACAAGAUGGCAUCAUGAGUUCACAUGUUCACAUGAUUAAAGGUAUUCCGGUAGACGAUGGGGAUGCGUUCCGUUAGAUAGUAGGCGGGGUAACGGCCCACCUAGUCUUCGAUGGAUAGGGGUUCUGAGAGGAAGGUCCCCCACAUUGGAACUGAGACACGGUCCAA